CAAAGUAUAGAAAACAGCCCAUUAUACCUUGUAGAAAAGUUACAGCUUCUUAGAAGAGACGCUGCAAGUUCGCAGGUUAAAGAAAUAAUGAAGGAGUUUCCAGAGAUUGCCAUGGACACAAUUGUUCACAUUGUUCAGCGAAUGUCUCAGGCUCAGCGCAAAGAUGCUCUUGAAGCGUUAUCAAAUCUAGAUUUAGUUAAGCAGCCCCAGGUGGAACCAGAAUUGACACCAGAAUCACAGGAAGGCUCCAACUGACCCUUGUUGUGGCAGUAGUCACUCCCAACUACUUGCCACAUACACUAUUGUAUUAUGUUUCCCUAGCCUUUUAUCCCUAUUUCUGUUUACAUCCUUUAUCACCUUUGCAAGUUGAAUCACCAUGUGUAUAUUAGAUAUGUUCCCAGAUUUGAUAGUUUUGAAGGUUGUCACAAAUGAUGUACUGUACAGUAUAUAUACUCAUACAGCUUUAUAUAACUAAUUAAUUUUAAUCAGCAAAAUCUUGUUAAAAAUUCAUUAUUGCUAUUACUUUGAGAUAUACAUAUUGUAGUUGAGGUAAUGAAGAUGUUACAUAUAUUUAAAUUAGUAUUACCUCCCAUGUGUUGAAUGAACUGUUUUUUUUUUUUUUUUUAUUGAAAUUAUGCCCAGGUAAUUUUGUGAUUUAGGAAAGAUGUGUUAAGUAACUUUUGUCAGUCUCUUAAAAUAUCGCAUGAGCAGCAUCAAUUUUUAUUGUUAUUUUAAAGCAUAAAAAUUUAACCCAAAUAAUCUGCAUAUCUGUUUUUAGAAAAAUAAAGUAGUGCUGGAAAUGUGUGAAUCCUUUUAAGAUAAAAACAAAAUAUAUUUACGAUAUUUGCUUUUUGUGAUAUAUUGUCAAGGGUGCACUUUCUUAUGCAAAGGUCACAAUAAAGAAUUAAAUACUUAUUGCAGUAAAUAAUUUUGAAGCUUUACAUACUUCAAAUUUGACGCAGCCAACGAUAUUCCACAAGUAAAUUCUGCAAAUAGAUACAAAAGUUUGCUUGCUUGACUGUUUGUGGUAUCCACUGCAGUGUUGAGAUGUUUUAGUCAACAAAUCACGGAUGUUUCUUCCAACAUUAAACGUCCAGCGAAUAAGUACCAAAAAUAAUUUUAAAAAUACUUUAUAUUUUUAGAAUACUUCUGUAAUGCAAGUUUAAAUUCAAACAUUACAAAUCAAUAAUGGAAUUUUCUGUAUUUUUUUAUUUUGCCUUCAAGACGAGGCACAAGUUUUAUUGUAGUACUUUAGGCAGUCUUAGAAUUCAUUACUAACCAUUCAAUAUUCUGUAAAACUGUAAGUUUAGGAAUAUCAAAACCUAAAGUGGUUUGGAGAGUAAUUGAAGGAUUCAACUUUUGUCUAAAUUCUUAAUGGUCAUCACUGUAAUUGUACGCUUCAGGUUGGUAGUUUACUGCAUGAAAGAGUUGAAAUUGAAAAGAUGCAGUAAUCACAAAAUUACUGGGCUUUUACAUUACAUUUUUUAAUGGUAUUUCAAAAAAGCCUUUUUAUUUGGAACAGUUCUUUACACAUAAGCUAAAUUAGGUUUUAAAAAAUGGCCAUUCAAUGGCCUGGUGAUAAUGCUUAUUUGCUAGGAAUAGUGUAAUGUGUAAGUGGAAAGGUUGGCUAUGUUUUAUAUAGGUACUAUUAUGUAUUGAAUAAAAAAGUUCAUUAAUUUUUUAUAAAUCUUGUAUUCAUAAUAUAGUUUAUUAAUUUUU